rnacentral:sRNA from 1 species
UUACUUAGUGUCCAGCUGGUUGCUUCA